rnacentral:rRNA from 1 species
CAAGUCGAGCGGCAGCACAGAGAAACUUGUUUCUCGGGUGGCGAGCGCCCUUAAAGUGACUAAUGCCUGGGAAAUUGCCCUGAUGUGGGGCAUUACCAUUGGAAACGAUGGCUAAUACCGCAUGAUGCCUACGGGCCAAAGAGGGGGACCUUCGGGCCUCUCGCGUCAGGAUAUGCCCAGGUGGGAUUAGCUAGUUGGUGAGGUAAGGGCUCACCAAGGCGACGAUCCCUAGCUGGUCUGAGAGGAUGAUCAGCCACACUGGAACUGAGACACGGUCCAGACUCCUACGGGAGGCAGCAGUGGGGAAUAUUGCACAAUGGGCGCAAGCCUGAUGCAGCCAUGCCGCGUGUGUGAAGAAGGCCUUCGGGUUGUAAAGCACUUUCAGUAGGGAGGAAGGUGGUAGUGUUAAUAGCGCUAUCAUUUGACGUUACCUACAGAAGAAGCACCGGCUAACUCCGUGCCAGCAGCCGCGGUAAUACGGAGGGUGCGAGCGUUAAUCGGAAUUACUGGGCGUAAAGCGCAUGCAGGUGGUUUGUUAAGUCAGAUGUGAAAGCCCCGGGCUCCACCUGGGAAUUGCAUUUGAAACUGGCAAACUAGAGUACUGUAAAGGGGGGUAGAAUUU